rnacentral:piRNA from 1 species
UUGGAUAUGAACUUCAAACAGUCCGAA